rnacentral:rRNA from 1 species
CCUACGGGUGGCAGCAGUGAGGAAUUUUUGUCAAUGGCCGGAAGGCUGAACCAGCCAUGCCGCGUGAAGGUCAGUGCCCUAUGGGCGUUAAACUUCUUUUGUGCGGGAGCAAUAACGGUCACGUGUGGCCAGACGAGAGUACCGUACGAAUAAGCAUCGGCUAACCCCGUGCCAGCAGCCGCGGUAAUACGGGGGAUGCAAUCGUUAUCCGGAUCUAUUGGGUUUAAAGGGUGCGUAGGCUGUGUGGUAAGUCAGCGGUGAAAUGCCGCCGCUCAACGGGGUGAAGUGCCAUUGAUACUGCCUUGCUGGAAUGCGGAUGCGGUGGGAGGAAUGUGUGGUGUAGCAGUGAAAUGCAUAGAUAUCACACAGAACACCGAUUGCGAAGGCAUCUCACGAAUCCGCGAUUGACGCUGAUGCACGAAGGCGAGGGUAUCGAACGGGAUUAGAUACCCUGGUAGUC